rnacentral:rRNA from 1 species
CCUACGGGAGGCAGCAGUGAGGAAUAUUGGUCAAUGGACGAGAGUCUGAACCAGCCAAGUAGCGUGAAGGAUGACUGCCCUAUGGGUUGUAAACUUCUUUUAUAUGGGAAUAAAAUGUUCCACGUGUGGGAUUUUGUAUGUACCAUAUGAAUAAGGAUCGGCUAACUCCGUGCCAGCAGCCGCGGUAAUACGGAGGAUCCGUGCGUUAUCCGGAUUUAUUGGGUUUAAAGGGAGCGUAGGUGGAAUGUUAAGUCAGUUGUGAAAGUUUGCGGCUCAACCGUAAAAUUGCAGUUGAAACUGGCAGUCUUGAGUACAGUAGAGGUGGGCGGAAUUCGUGGUGUAGCGGUGAAAUGCUUAGAUAUCACGAAGAACUCCGAUUGCGAAGGCAGUUCACUGGACUGCAACUGACACUGAGGCUCGAAAGUGUGGGUAUCAAACAGGAUUAGAUACCCCUGUAGUC